AUGUGUUUCUUUGUUUUACUUCUCUUUCAUAUCCAGUUAUUUAGAAAUUCUCUGCUAACCUCCCGGCAGUUAAAUAUGAUUAGGUAUAAUGUGAAGCAUUUGCUUGACAGAGGUACCUUCAUGUCAAUGUGAAGCAUUUAUGUUGCUAUACGUUGCAGGAAUGUAUCCAUGUACUCGGAAACCUGUGAACUCUUUGAUACACCUUUUAUGUGUUGCUUUUGGUCUUGAUAGAGGGAGAUACAUUGACAGGAAGUGCUCACUCGCUAGAAUUGUUUCUAUCAGGGGCAGAAUUAUUGUUGAAACAUGCACUGUGUGAAGAUGAAUAGGAACCUUUCAUAAUUAUUCCCAAACAUGCCACUGUGUCAUCAUUGGCCAAUGCAGGACCUCUUAGAUUAUACAAGUCCCUAUGUUUGUUUGGAUUCAUUAACCAUGGGAUUGGACUUUCAUUCGAUGCCACUAGCUCCUGUGAUGCACUGUGUAAACUACCGUGUGAUCUCCCUCUUCUUUUGUGAUUGCAUCCCCUUUGUCACAUCUAUCCAUCCUUUUGUACUUGAUAUGUACCGUGUAUGAACAAUUGUAUCCUUUAGUUUACCCUGUAUAUGAACAUUGCAUCCUCAAAUGUGUUGUGUUGUCGUUCUGUUGGCUAUGGA